UACGUAGGGUGCAAGCGUUAAUCGGAAUUACUGGGCGUAAAGCGUGCGCAGGCGGUUUGGUAAGACAGAUGUGAAAUCCCCAGGCUUAACCUGGGAACUGCAUUCGAGACUGCAUUGCUAGAGUAUGGGAGAGGGAAGUGGAAUUUCCGGUGUAGCGGUGAAAUGCGUAGAUAUCGGAAGGAACAUCAGUGGCGAAAGCGACUUCCUGGACCAAUACUGACGCUCAUGUGCGAAAGCGUGGGGAGCAAACAGG
rnacentral:rRNA from 1 species